rnacentral:lncRNA from 1 species
CAUAAAGGUUGACAUUACAAGCUUGAAGUGGCACUGUGUUUGCAUCUACUCUACACCUACUGGGAUAUGAAAACGACAAUAUGAUGAAGAAGGAAAAAUCCCACCAUUGUCUGAUUUACUGCCUUGGAACUUGGAAUGCUGUGAAGUGUGUGCCAAGUAUGGAAUGGAAAACCAAAUGCCCUCCUCAGAGUCAUCCACACACAGUUGUCUUAGACGUGGUGAAGUAUUGAAGAUUCCUCAGUUACCUCCUUAAGUGUCACCAAAACAGCCAGUCUGGGUGUUUCAAACAAAGGUCUUGGGGCAUGGAAUGAGCACGGUAGAAAAUGCAGCGAGGGAAAUGUCAGUUGGAAUCCUCGGAAGAAAUCAGGCAGAAAGUUGACCUUUUGGCACUUGCAGUGCAAUGGAAGGUAGCGCCGC